AACGAACGCUGGCGGCAUGCCUAACACAUGCAAGUCGAACGAGACCUUCGGGUCUAGUGGCGCACGGGUGCGUAACGCGUGGGAAUCUGCCCUUGGUUCGGAAUAACAGUUAGAAAUGACUGCUAAUACCGGAUGAUGACGAAAGUCCAAAGAUUUAUCGCCGAGGGAUGAGCCCGCGUAGGAUUAGCUAGUUGGUGAGGUAAAGGCUCACCAAGGCGACGAUCCUUAGCUGGUCUGAGAGGAUGAUCAGCCACACUGGGACUGAGACACGGCCCAGACUCCUACGGGAGGCAGCAGUGGGGAAUAUUGGACAAUGGGCGAAAGCCUGAUCCAGCAAUGCCGCGUGAGUGAUGAAGGCCUUAGGGUCGUAAAGCUCUUUUACCAGGGAUGAUAAUGACAGUACCUGGAGAAUAAGACUCCGGCUAACUCCGUGCCAGCAGCCGCGGUAAU
rnacentral:rRNA from 1 species